rnacentral:rRNA from 1 species
AACGAACGCUGGCGGCAGGCUUAACACAUGCAAGUCGAGCGCCCCGCAAGGGGAGCGGCAGACAGGUGAGUAACGCGUGGGCAUCUACCCUUUUCUACGGAAUAACGCAGGGAAACUCGUGCUAAUACCGUAUAAGCCCUUCGGGGGAAAGAUUUAUCGGGAAAGGAUGAGCCCGCGUUGGAUUAGCUAGUUGGUGGGGUAAAGGCCUACCAAGGCGACGAUCCAUAGCUGGUCUGAGAGGAUGAUCAGCCACAUUGGGACUGAGACACGGACCAAACUCCUACGGGAGGCAGCAGUGGGGAAUAUUGGACAAUGGGCGCAAGCCUGAUCCAGCCAUGCCGCGUGAGUGAUGAAGGCCCUAGGGUUGUAAAGCUCUUUCACCGGUGAAGAUAAUGACGGUAACCGGAGAAGAAGCCCCGGCUAACUUCGUGCCAGCCGCCGCGGUAACAC